GAGGGUACAGCUCUGUUGUAGAGUGAGUGCUUAGCAUGCAUGAGGUCCUGGGUUCAAUCCCCAGUGCCUCCA
rnacentral:tRNA from 1 species